rnacentral:rRNA from 1 species
GUCUACCAUACCACCCUGAACGCACCUCAUCUCAUCUGAUCUCAGCUACGCAGGGUGGGCCCCGGUUACUACGUGGCUGGGAGACUGCCUGGGAACACCGGAUGCUGUAGAAU